CCCCAGCUUCCCUGCCCUGCCUCCCUCCGGUCUCCCAACUCUCCCAAUCCCUAGAGGCGGCGGCAGGGCCGGCGGGCCGGCGGCGGCGGCGCGGCCAGGCCUGGGCGGCUGUGCGCGGCGCAGGGGCGGAGCGGAGGCCGGUUGUGGCGCAAGGCACAGGAGGCAGGCCGGCAGGGGCGCAUGCAGGACGGUAGGAGGCAGCAGCGGCGACCGCGCCCUGCAGCUGCUCCCUGCUACCCUGCUCGGUGGGUGGCGGCAGGCAGGCAGGCAGGCAGGCAGCGCCCUGAGCCCCUGACCGCUAGGCCCUAGCAGCGCAGGCAGGCAGCGCGGGCGGCCAGCCAGGCUGGCAGGGGCAGCCGGCUGCCGGCGUCCGGGUGCGGCGACCAGCGGCGCUCCGUGCCUCCGUAUCAAUUACUAGGACGUCUUCGUAUCCUAUAGUGCAAAUCCAUGAUCUGCUGCUUUUGGUGCUGGAAUAUGUUGUAUUUGUGUCAUGUCAUAAAGGGAGGCACAGAAAAAAAAAAUUCCUUCUGGACACGGCAUACUAUUGUGUAUUCCCAUUGUAAGUGAUGUAGGAGCGAGUAUUAUAAUAAGCUGUAAGUAGGUUACAGGCUAAAUUUUGACGUGGAGGAGAGAAUAGGGCGGAGAGAGAAGAAGUGGGAGGUUUGAACUCAACACAAGAACCAAUAAAUUUUGUAAGAGAGACAAGUGGACCAUGUAUUAUGGUGAAGAGCUAAUUGCUGUACGAGUGAGUUGUGAGAUGGGCUGUAAAGAUCCUUGCAGCUCUUUAGCGUUACUCUAAAGAGGGAACUCUGUUUCAGGUUGUGUUUAGUUCGCGAAAAAAUUUGGGUUUUGGUACUGUA